GUGAUGUGACAGCACAGUGGAACUCUGGUGUACGACUGGCUCACAACAACAUCCUUUCAUGUGCAUCAAUAUCACUGACUCAUCUCCCACCAUUAUCUUCUUACUAACGACCAGAUAGAGGCCCCUCACAGAUGCUCAAACCAUGCUCUGGAACCGCAGUCAAAAGUCUACAGUAAAUGAUUCUCCCUCUGCUGUGUCCUAUGUACACUCAGAAGAAACAGGUUUAUGAAAGUAGACACUCAGCCCCAGUGAAAGCCGAAUGCUGGGGCUGCUAAAGCCAGCGUUCCGAGCCUGCGUGUUACCCCACUGCUUUUUUCCAAGAGUCAGGACCACCCAGAUGUUGUGGGUUCUGUUUGACAGGACUUGAUAAUCUCUUGAGGUGCUUUGCUGAAAAGAUUUUGUCCUCCUGCCUGUGUCUUUUUUCUUCUCCCCCUUCAAGCUGAGGCGGGCUCUGGAUCUCUGCUUCAGGGGACGGAUGUGUCCUGGGCAGAGAGAGCUGAGCCUCAGAGGUUUCCUGGCUUUUCUGCCCACAACCCUGAGCCCCUGGGGGAUUUCUCAAGGCUGGUGAAGGAGGUAAAGGGAGAGAAAUUCUGUGG
rnacentral:lncRNA from 1 species